GCAGCGGGGCUCCUGGGGCCUGUCGGGAAGGGGCCUGGCGCGCGGGGCCCGCCGGGACUGGGGGUGUGCGGCUGCGCAGACUUGGUAACGCGAGAGCGCGCGGGGAGGGUGUGUCACGCCUCCCGAGACUGGGGCUGUGCGGCCUCACGGAGAAACUGAGGCAGGCGCGAAGCGUCGAGUGCGCGCGUGGCCCUGCAGGCAGGCGGAGACCCUGGUGGCUCCCAUACACGUAACAGCACUCACUGCUCUUUGACGUUAGUGAAUAGACCGUAAGCUCCCUGGAGCAGGGACCUUAUCCCAGCGUCUACCGCGGCGCCCGUCACCUAGGAAACCUCCAUUUUCUAAGGCCUUUCAGCUGAUUGGAUGUGGUCCACCCAUGUUAUUGAAGAUAAUAUUUUUUAAGGCUUCCUCCUUGGAGGGACCUCAGAAGUCCCAGGCUUCAUAGUGUCAAGUUCAACAGAAAGAGUAGUUUUCAUCUUUCCACAGUUCUUAGAAAAGUCCUGAGACUGAGUUUUACUGGGCAAUGUCAGUUUAGUAAAAGGGACAGGAUGUUAGCAAAGGAAGGCAUUACCAGCAAUAAGAAGUGAUAGCUGCCACGGGAAGCAAAUGCAGAAACAGCAGCCUGGGCUGUUCCAUGCAGGGGAGUUCAGCUCAGGUGGGCAAAACCAGAUAACUAACAUGAACAGUGGAACAAUCAGUGAACCAAUACAAGGGUUAAAUAAGCUAGCAAUUAAAAGCUGUAUCACUGGUCUAAAGAUAGAAGAUCAAGUAGAAAAUCAGCGCAAGAGGAAAGAUAUACGAAAACUAAUGACCUUCAAGGUUUGGCUGAACAGCUGAACUGCAGGAUGGAUUGGAAUGCCUAGAACCAGAAACUUAGGAUGCCUAGAACCAGAAACUCAGCCAUUGCUGAGGUUCACUGCUUCUCAGCGCUGCUGCUUUAUACACACAAACUGUAUUCUCUCCCACUGUUUUGUCUUCUUUCAUAAAGCAGGAAACAUAGGUGCUCAUAACUUGUGAGUUUUAAGUCUUACUCUAGAGUUUACAAAUGCAAAUGCCUCUAGGUGCCAGGAAAGUGACAUAAGUAAGUGAAGCAAGCUGAAUGUGCCAAUCCUGAGUGGUGGGGACUGGCAAACUGGAAACCCCAUGCCCUGUCUCCAGAGUCAGCCAUGACUCACUGCCAGUCUAUUGCCAGGUAGGAAUGUGAGCUUAGACUUUCAGAUUUUUCCAGAGAAACUUGACAUCUAGAUUUUUAUGUGAAUAUCCUGAUUUCUAAUGCUGGCAGUGAAUUCAAACUAAAAACCAACACUGUGUUGUCCAAACAAAACACAUUUGUGGGUUACAUUUGACCUCUUGAUUCAUGUGUUACUUUUGGAGUUAAAUAACUCGAGGUCUGAAAAUUGACCACUGAGUUUGGCCACAUCAAGCUUAUUAAUGACCUUGACAAAGCCAAUUUCAGAAGAUGAUGGGGUGAUGCCUGAGUAGAGAGGGUUCAGUAGAGAACUGGGGAUGAGGAAGUAGCUAUGACCUAUAUGGACAGCUCUUUAAAGGAUUUGGCGUAGAGAGGAGCAGAGAAUUGGGGUAAGAGCUGGAGAGCACAGGAAGUUGCUAGGGGAUCUUAAAAGAGGGGACAAAUGACAGAAUGUCUGUUGAUGCUGAUGGAAAUAAUCCACUACAGGGUGAAAACGUCAUGAAAGAGGAGGAUUAUGCUAACACAUGAGGAAUUUCAUGGGCAGGAAGAAAUGGGGACUGGUUUACAAAUGGAGGAGCUGACCCUAGAUAGGAGCCCUUGAAGCUUGUGUAUUGGGACAGGACAGCAGAAUAUAUGGGAGCAGAUGCCUGUAGAUUUAGUGGCAGCAAGAUAAGGGAAUUCUCUUCAGAUUGCUCUAAUUUCUUGUGAAAGAAGAGGCAAGAUCACCAUCAACUGAGGGUGAAGAUGGAAUAGGAAGGGACAGGAGAGGUUGUGAUUCUGUCAUCUUGGAGUAGGCCCACAUCUUGGGGGCUAUCUUGGGGUGCUAUGCCUUACUCCUCUUUUCUGAACAUCAUUAAAAUGUAAUUUUGUAUUUUUGCAUUUAAUGCUAUCCCGCAGGCCCUGAAAGAUGCCUAAAAGGCAGCCUUCCCUCAGGUACCAUUGUGCUGAGGUUUGCCACCCGCAUCUUCUUGAGACAGCCCCACUAAGACAAUGAGAGCGUGUCCUGACCCAUUAAUGUGCCCAGGUUCCCAAACGCCUCUGUCAGCCUGUGGUCUUGACUUUGAAGUAAAACCAGUCCCCUGGUUGCUGUUUCCCCAGCAACAUUAACUGCUGGGGUGCAGAGUGAGGCAGGAGGAGAGUCAGACUUAGCCAGGCUUUGAGUUGCACCAGGCAGAUAAUGUAGAGGGAGGGGGGCAAGUCAUACUUUCCUACUUGUAGAGUAGUGCUUACUUUACAGAGUACCUAUGAAGAUUUGUAAAAAUGCACACUUGGCUUCUGGCCUAGCACAUAGGUAAUUCAGUCAUUACUUGGUGAAGGACAUGAAUAAUAUAUGUAAAAUAUCUGGCCAUUAGAAGAAGCUGGGAAGGGCUAACAGGAUGUAUGAGAGACUGCUUCUGAGUCUUAAUGGCCAGGCAUUGUGCUGAGGCUGUGGGCCAUGGAGGAGCUCCCGUCUUGGCACAGGAGAAAGAAAUGUGGACACACCGCUACCGUGUAGUGUGAUGAGUCUAGGAAUUAAGAUAUACCAGUGGUAAUUAAAUCUCAAAAUAAUAGUGUCUUAACAGAAAUAAACCCAUGCAUAAAUGGUUGGUUGACUUUGACAAAGUGCCAAGUGCACACAAUGGGGAAGGACAAUUGGACAUCCACAUGUAGAAAAAGGUAGUUGGAUCCUAUCACACCACAUAUAAAAAUCAACCCAAAUGGAGUGAAGACUUAAAUGUAAGACCUGAAACUAUAAAACUACUGGAAGAAACAUAGGAGAAAUUCUUCAUGAUGCUGGUCUAGGCAAUGGUUUUUUUUGGAUUUGAUCCCAGAAGCAUAGGCAACAAAAGCAAAAAUCGACAAAUGGGAUUAUAUGAAACUAACAAGCUUUUGCGCAGCAAAGGAAACAAUUAUCAGAGUGAAAACACAGCCUAUGGA
rnacentral:lncRNA from 1 species